rnacentral:lncRNA from 1 species
UCUGCCGCAGGCAAAAUCCUAGUAUUUAAGUGGAGAAGGAUUAAGGUACAGGUCCAUUAUCCACCGAACUUCAGACUCUGCACCAGUUGGCUCUCAAAAUAUUUCAGUUGUCAACGAAAAUAGAAGAGAUUUUGGGAGCAUAUACCUUGUGAAAAGGAAGGGUACAUAAUUUGUGCAGUCAGGAACUGGUGAAGCUGGGGUAUCAGAAAGUGACUGCAUCAUAGGAUUUAUUUGCUGUCAUUAGUCUGCUGAAGCUGAAAGCAUUAGACCCGAACAUAGCACUUGAUCAAAUUGCUUCUCUAGCUGCAUGGGAUUUUUGCAUCUGCUGUUGUAUCCAAGUAAGCAACAAGCUUCAUUAAAGUGAUUGUUAGGCUGCCGACAGCUGUUGUUCGAUUCUCUGUGUUCCCUUAAGUAGUGAUUUUUUCUUAAUCAUGAUUAGUUAGGGAGGUUGUAUUCUAGUAAUCUGUGCAUUAUUUUCUAUUUUGGAACAUGCGUACACACCCCCUAGUAGCUUCAAAGAGAAAUCAAGUUGUGCAUUCUCAAUGUGUCUCCCUCUCUUCGUCUUACUAUAGAAUUCUGAAGGACAACACUAAAUCCUUGGCUUUUGGUUAUUUUGAGACUUAACUGCUAUGUCAUACUUUUUCAGGAUUUCAAAGACAAAAUACCCAUGCUGCAAGAGAAAUCUGGUCAAACGGAUUUUGUCUGGACCAGCAGAUUGUCUCUGCUGAGCCUUCUGCUGCACAUUGCAUGCAUAUAUCUUCUGUUCAGCAAUAAUAACUAGAUGACUCCAGCUACUUGGAAGUCUUCAAGCCAGUCAUAAUCCUUAAUGAGGUGUUACAACUGCAGUCAAUAUGACCUCGACCUUUGCUUUUGCAGAGAAAGGACAGUUGCUUACCAGAUGUUUAUAAAUUGGUUCUUUCGUACAACCAAUUGGAUAUUCUUGUGUUGUGUGAAUUCCUUUUUACCAAAAGUUAUGAGGAACCUCAGAGGUUUUGGGCCCUCAAGGAGGAAUUCGAGAAGUCCUCAGGGCUUUCGUCUAUUGGUAAGAGCACAACGCAUGAUGUGUGGAUUAGGUGCAUGUCACAAGUUUGAACUCUGCCGCAGACAGAAUCCUGGUAUUUAAGUGGAGAAGGGUUAAGGUACAGGUCCAUUAUCCACCGAACUUCAGACUCUGCACCAGUUGGCUCUCAAAAUAUUUCAGUUGUCAACGAAAAUAGAAGAGAUUUUGGGAGCAUAUACCUUGUGAAAAGGAAGGGUACAUAAUUUGUGCAGUCAGGAACUGGUGAAGCUGGGGUAUCAGAAAGUGACUGCAUCAUAGGAUUUAUCCAACAGCUGUUGUUCGAUUGUUUGUGUUCCCUUAAGUAGUGAUUUUUUCUUAAUCAUGAUUAGUUAGGGAGGUUGUAUUCUAGUAAUCUGUGCAUUAUUUUCUAUUUUGGAACAUGCGUACACACCCCCUAGUAGCUUCAAAGAGAAAUCAAGUUGUGCAUUCUCAAUGUGUCUCCCUCUCUUCGUCUUACUAUAGAAUUCUGAAGGACAACACUAAAUCCUUGGCUUUUGGUUAUUUUGAGACUUAACUGCUAUGUCAUACUUUUUCAGGAUUUCAAAGACAAAAUACCCAUGCUACAAUAGAAAUCUGGUCAAAUGGAUUUUGUCUGAACCAACAGAUCGUCUCUGCUGAGCCUUCUGCAGCACAUUGCAUGCAUAUAUCUUCUGUUCAGCAAUAAUAACUAGAUGACUCCAGCUACUUGGAAGUCUUCAAGCCAGUCAUAAUCCUUAAUGAGGUGUUACAACUGCAGUCAAUAUGACCUCGACCUUUGCUUUUGCAGAGAAAGGACAGUUGCUUACCAGAUGUUUAUAAAUUGGUUCUUUCGUACAACCAAUUGGAUAUUCUUGUGUUGUGUGAAUUCCUUUUUACCAAAAGUUAUGAGGAACCUCAGAGGUUUUGGGCCCUCAAGGAGGAAUUCGAGAAGUCCUCAGGGCUUUCGUCUAUUGGUAAGAGCACAACGCAUGAUGUGUGGAUUAGGUGCAUGUCACAAGUUUGAACUCUGCCGCAGACAGAAUCCUGGUAUUUAAGUGGAGAAGGGUUAAGGUACAGGUCCAUUAUCCACCGAACUUCAGACUGUGCACCAGUUGGCUCUCAAAAAAUUUCAGUUGUCAACGAAAAUAGAAGAGAUUUUGGGAGCAUAUACCUUGUGAAAAGGAAGGGUACAUAAUUUGUGCAGUCGGGAACUGGUAAAGCUGGCCGCUGUGGUAUCAGAAAGUGACUGCAUCAUAGGAGUUAUUUGUUGUCAUUAGUCUGCUGAAGCUGAAAGCAUUAGACCCGAACACAGGACUU